rnacentral:rRNA from 1 species
GACGAACGCUGGCGGCGUGCUUAACACAUGCAAGUCGAGCGGUAAGGCCCGUUUCGGGGUACGACGAGCGGCGAACGGGUGAGUAACACGUGGGUGACCUGCCCUCAGCUCUGGGAUAAGCCUGGGAAACCGGGUCUAAUACUGGAUAUGACUCCAUGACGCAUGUUGUGGGGUGGAAAGCCUUGUGCGGCUGAGGAUGGGCCCGCGGCCUAUCAGCUUGUUGGUGGGGUGANGGCCUACCAAGGCGACGACGGGUAGCCGGCCUGAGAGGCGACCGGCCACACUGGGACUGAGACACGGCCCAGACUCCUACGGGAGGCAGCAGUGGGGAAUCUUGCGCAAUGGGCGAAAGCCUGACGCAGCGACGCCGCGUGAGGGAUGACGGCC